GGGUCAGUAGGUUGGUCGUGCCACCGGUACGUACUGGUCUUACUGAUUUCUCCUUCCUGAAGAACCGUAAUGCCAUUAAUUUGGUGUUGCGGGGAAACAGGACUGUUACUUUGAAAAAAUUAGAGUGUUUAAAGCAAGCUAACGCUUGAAUACAUUAGCAUGGAAUAAUGAAAUAGGACGAUCGAUCCUAUUUUGUUGGUUUCUAGGAUUGACGUA
rnacentral:rRNA from 1 species